rnacentral:lncRNA from 1 species
UAGUUGUUAUAGGGACCAGCUGUGAUGACAGAAGUGGGAACACUUUGCAGGACUGUGGCUGUUGCUCAGCAGCCUUGGAGUCAGGAGGAGAGAUGAAAAUCAGAAUUGAGGGUGCUUCUGGGUGAGGGACACACCCUAUACUCUUCGCAUACUCUGCACUGGAUCCUCACGGAACCACAAUCUGAGUGAAAGUGACACCACAUGACUUCUGAGACUUGGCCCUAAAAGGUGACACAGCUUCCAACUGGCUGACCUGGGACAGUCACUUUUGGAAUCCAGCCACCAUGUGGGAGGCAGCCUGGGUCACGUGGAGAGGCCACAAAUAAGUAUUUGCCAUCUGAGGUCCCUGCUAUAGCCAUAAGCAACCAUGUGAGAGUCGGAGUGAGAAGCACCCACACUGAGCCCAUUAACCACAGACUGCACAAGAGAAAUCAAAAUGAUUUUCUUUCUUUUUUUUUAAAGAGAGGAAUUUCUCUAUGUUGCUCAGGCUGAUCUUUAACUUCUGGGCUCAGGCAGUCCUCCCGCUUCAGCCUGCCCAGCAGCUAGGACCACAGGCACACAUCAACCCACCCUACUAAUGUUUUUUAAUUCUUUACUUUUGGUAGAGAUGGAGUUUCACCAUGCUGCCAGCCUGGUCUCGAACUCCUGGGCUCAAGUGAUCCUCCCACCUUGCCCUCCCAAAGUAUUGGGAUUAAAAGAAUGAGCCACUGUGUCUGGCCAAAAUCGCCAUUGUUUUAAGGCAACAAGUUUUGGAGAGAUUUGUUAUGCAGCAGUCUGCUAACCGCAAUAGAGGAGCACACAGGGGCUCAAUUUGACAGGUAGUGACUUGCCAGAGGACUCAGCUGAUGUGUGGCAGGACCAGGCAGUGAAUCUGUGUCUUCCGAACUCCAAAUCCCAUCUUUGCCCUGACCCUGAACUUCCUCCUUUGGUUUCUGGGAUGGCUCUUACUCAGGGAGGGUCCCCUUUUCCCUCCCCACCCAGCAGUGGCCAGGAUGAAACCACAG